rnacentral:RNase_P_RNA from 1 species
AUGGCCGGAGGGUCUGUCGCGCAUAUUAUAUAUAGAAUAUGUGAGGAAAGUCCGGGCAACACAGAGCACCAUAUUUUCUAACGGAAAGCUAUCGGCAACGGUAGAGACAAUGUGACAGAAAACGACCGCCUAAGCGCCUUGUGCGCCGGCAAGGGUGAAAAGGUGAGGUAAGAGCUCACCGGCGUCGGCGGCAACGUCGGCGGCCGCACAUCUUAUGGGUUGCAAGGUCAAGUAUACCGACAUUUAAGGGUUGCUCGCCCAUUGUCGGGGGGUAGACCGCUCAAGGCCUUACGGCCAGAUAAAUGACAGACAGCGCGAUGCCGUUCGAGAUUUCGAAAACACAUCGGCUACAUAACCCGGCUUAUACUCCGACCAUGCUU